rnacentral:rRNA from 1 species
CACGUAGGGCGCAAGCGUUGUCCGGAAUUAUUGGGCGUAAAGAGCUCGUAGGCGGUCUGUUGCGUCUGCUGUGAAAACCCGGGGCUUAACCCCUGGCUUGCAGUGGAUACGGACAGACUAGAGGUAGGUAGGGGAGAAUGGAAUUCCCGGUGUAGCGGUGAAAUGCGCAGAUAUCAGGAGGAACACCGGUGGUGUAGACGGCUUACUGGACCACGACUGACACUGAGGCACGAAAGCGUGGGUAGCAAACAGG